UACGAAGGGGGCUAGCGUUGCUCGGAAUUACUGGGCGUAAAGCGCACGUAGGCGGCUUUCUAAGUCGGGGGUGAAAUCCUGGAGCUCAACUCCAGAACUGCCUUCGAUACUGGAGAGCUUGAGUCCGGGAGAGGUGAGUGGAACUGCGAGUGUAGAGGUGAAAUUCGUAGAUAUUCGCAAGAACACCAGUGGCGAAGGCGGCUCACUGGCCGGUACUGACGCUGAGGUGCGAAAGCGUGGGGAGCAAACAGG
rnacentral:rRNA from 1 species